UUGCAUUUUAUUCUGUGUAAAUUAUACCUCAUUAAAGUUUUUAAAUUCCAAUUCCAAUUCCAUUUUCUCAUUUUGCAGAGUGUCCCCCAGCAAUUAGUUAUGCUUACUAUAUCCCUCAACUCUCUGUUGACCCUCAAGAGUUCAAAACCCCAUCUUUUCACUCAUUACCAUAUGAUAGUUUACAGAAAAGUUGUAUAAUUCUAUGCCGUUCACUCUUGCAUAUCUGCAUACCUGGCCACUCAUCACAUUAUUAAUCAUAUUUCCUACCCUUGAUUCAACUUAGUUCAGUAGAGGAUACCACUUAAUUAUUAAAAGACCACUGAUUUUUACUUCUUUCAGUAACUGAGAAAUUCAAAAUCUAAAACCCAUAAAGUCAUGAAUUCUCAUAUUUUGAUUAUCUUAGGAGUGGAGGGAUGAUUGAUACCAAUUAGAAUUUAGAGAACUGUCAGUGCCCUACCUUGACUUAUGAAUUAACUUUUAGUGAGACUUUGUUUUCUCCUGGGAGUCUCUGGAGCACAUCCAUGGAGACAAUGUCCCAGAGGAAGCUAGGAGAGUGCCCCACUAACAACUAACAACUCGUUAUUUUGAGAGAAGAAAUCUUGACUUAGUGUGAACUGAUCUAUUAAUCACUUUGAACACAAUUCUCUUAAACACUGAAGCCAUCUCUCCAUUUCUUGAAAGCUUUACAAAUAGAAUUCAGCAAUGCAUAUCAGCACUUACCUUAAAUUUUAGAGAGAUUCAUUUUCCUGGUACAAAAAAAAAGAAGGGAAAAAAAAAGGAGAAGGAAAUUUUGUUUCAAUGCUGUGCCUUUAUAAAAAUCUCUCAUUCUUUUUCAGUCGGCUGGAGGAUAAGGACCCGCCUGAGGACCAGAACUGUUUCCCUGAGAAUCAUUAGUGCUAAAUAGCCUGGAAGAGAAAGGAGAAACAGAUUGAAGAGUAAGGAGCGAACAGGAACAGAACAAUUACCGAUUGCCAUGGUGAAAUGAGGAGCAACACCAUAUGACUAUGUUGUAACUUCUCCAAAGGAAAAGAAAAAGAGUCUAGACUCUACUUAAAUCUGGUAAGCAUGUCGACUGCAAUAUUUAAUCCAGUAUUUUAACCUUAUCACCUUAGCUUCCUAAGGUUAUUUUCCUUUCUUUGAAUAUCGCUAUAACCUGCUAACUCACGCUAUCUGACCUUCCUCCA
rnacentral:lncRNA from 12 species